UAACCUAGUUAGUUUGUAUUAUAAAGUUAGUUUUCUAUAUAUAUAUCCAUAUAAAUAUAUAUCAUAACUUAGUUAGUUAAUUGAACCACUUUUAAAAUAACUUAGUUAGUUAGACCACGGGGACUAUUUGUGCAAAUUCUCUAACUAAACCCCCCUAAUUAAACCCUAAGUAUAAAACUUUAGCAAAAACCCUAUUACCUUUUUUUUCAUAUGCCGUUUACUGUCUUCCCCCUCAAAUACCCUACUCCAUCUUCUCUAACUUCACCUUCUUAACAAGAAGAAAACCCUACAUCAGAACCAUGGCAGCCAAACUCUCCUUCACUCUCGUUCACACUCCACACGUGACCUUCCACUCUCAUCCCUUCACUCCCACUCAGCUCUUCUCUCCCUCUAUUAAACAAACGGCCGGUCACCAAUGAUGGUGGCGGCGCACGGCAGUGGCGGCAGAGCCACGACAGAGAGAGAACGAUAGAGAGAGAGAGAUAGACGACGGAGAGAGAGAGAGAGAUGCGCAACCGUUUUUUUUUUCGGGAAACUCGACGGCGGCGGGCACACGACACCGGAGACUAUCGGAGUUCGCGGGAAACAUCUCGAGUUCACGACCUUUGUUGUUCGGAUAACCGUUCGUUCAUUCGGUUUCUCAAUCUUUACUCGUGCGUUACUUCGAGAAAUUUCCAAACGCAACCAAUGUUGAUGAUGACGAUGCUAUGAAAAGAAGUAGCGUUGAUGCCUAGAUACACAUAUAGACGUUUAGGUUUAAUAUGUUGUAUCAAUUUUGCUUAUGUUGUUAUGUAUUACUUUUGGAACUUGUUGUCAUUUGAGUUUAUGUAAUGUUGACUAUUUGAAGUUAUGAAAUGAAAUUGGGAUUAU